rnacentral:rRNA from 1 species
CCUACGGGAGGCAGCAGUGAGGAAUAUUGGUCAAUGGGCGCGAGCCUGACCCAGCCAAGUAGCGUGAAGGAUGACUGCCCUACGGGUUGUAACCUUCUUUUAUAAAGGAAUAAAGUGAGGCACGUGUGCCUUUUUAUAUGUCCUUUAUGACUAAGGAUAGGCUAACUCCGUGCCAGCAGCCGCAGUAAUACGUAGUAUCCGAGCGUUAUCCGGAUUUAUUGGGUUUAAAGGGCGCGUAGAUGGGUUGUUAAGUCAGUUGUGAAAGUUUGCGGCUUAACCGUAAAAUUGCAAUUGAUACUGGCAGCCUUGAGUACAGUUGAGGUAGGCGGAAUUCGUGGUGUAGCGGUGAAAUGCUUAGAUAUCACGAAGAACUCCGAUUGCGAAGGCAGCCUACUAAACUGCAACUGACAUUGAUGCUCGAAAGUGUGGGUAUCAAACAGGAUUAGAUACCCGAGUAGUC